ACUCUACGGGAGGCAGCAGUGGGGAAUAUUGCACAAUGGGCGCAAGCCUGAUGCAGCCAUGCCGCGUGUAUGAAGAAGGCCUUCGGGUUGUAAAGUACUUUCAGCAGUGAGGAAGGUGGGUAUGUUAAUAGCAUACUCAUUUGACGUUAGCUGCAGAAGAAGCACCGGCUAACUCCGUGCCAGCAGCCGCGGUAAUACGGAGGGUGCGAGCGUUAAUCGGAAUUACUGGGCGUAAAAGCGCAUGCAGGUGGUUUGUUAAGUCAGAUGUGAAAGCCCGGGGCUCAACCUCGGAAUUGCAUUUGAAACUGGCAAACUAGAGUACUGUAGAGGGGGGUAGAAUUUCAGGUGUAGCGGUGAAAUGCGUAGAGAUCUGAAGGAAUACCGGUGGCGAAGGCGGCCCCCCUGGACAGAUACUGACACUCAGAUGCGAAAGCGUGGGGAGCAAACAGGAUUAGAUACCCCUGGUAGGCGUAG
rnacentral:rRNA from 1 species